rnacentral:rRNA from 1 species
GGAGUUAGACGGUGCUUCUUCUGUGAGUGAUGUCCUUCCUGCCGGCUAUUAACCCGCAGGCCUUCUUCCUCACUGAAAGUGCUUUACAACCCGAAGGCCUUCUUCACACACGCGGCAUGGCUGGAUCAGGGUUGCCCCCAUUGUCCAAUAUUCCCCACUGCUGCCUCCCGUAGGAGUCUGGGCCGUGUCUCAGUCCCAGUGUGGCUGAUCAUCCUCUCAGACCAGCUACGGAUCGUCGCCUUGGUGAGCCGUUACCUCACCAACCAGCUAAUCCGACAUAGGCUCAUCCGAUAGCGCGAGGCCCGAAGGUCCCCCGCUUUCCCCCGUAGGGCGUAUGCGGUAUUAGCCUGGGUUUCCCCAGGUUAUCCCCCACUACCGGGCAGAUUCCUAUGCAUUACUCACCCGUCCGCCGCUCGCCACCAGGGAGCAAGCUCCCCGUGCUGCCGCUCGACUUGCAUGUGUAGCUCGCCGCCACGCGUCAUCUGAGCAUGAUACAACUACUGA